CCCUUCUUUGUUCUUUCCGCCUAUAUACCGCCGUCGUCAGCCUACCCUGUGAAGGCCUUAUAGUAAGCAAAAUCGGCACAGCCCAAAACGUCAGGUCGAGGUGUAGCGUAUGGAAGGGGAAGAAAUGGGCUACAUUCCCUAUUACAGGGCAUACGAAUGAUUUCGCUGAAACGCAUAUCUGAAGGAGGAUUUAGCAGUAAGCAGGAAGUAGAGUGUCCUGCUGAAGCCGGCUCUGAAGCGCGCACACACCGCCCGUCACUCUCCCCAAGCUAAUAUACUUAAAUAACUAAAACACCAUAACUGCAAAGGGGAGGCAAGUCGUAACAUGGUAAGUGUACCGGAAGGUGCACUUGGAAUAACAUACAA
rnacentral:rRNA from 1 species